rnacentral:rRNA from 1 species
UACGUAGGGUGCGAGCGUUAAUCGGAAUUACUGGGCGUAAAGCGUGCGUAGGCGGUUCGUUAUGUCUGCUGUGAAAUCCCCGGGCUCAACCUGGGAAUGGCAGUGGAAACUGGCGGGCUUGAGUGUGGCAGAGGGGGGUGGAAUUCCGCGUGUAGCAGUGAAAUGCGUAGAUAUGCGGAGGAACACCGAUGGCGAAGGCAAUCCCCUGGACCUGUACUGACGCUCAUGCACGAAAGGCGUGGGGAGCAAACAGG